rnacentral:misc_RNA from 1 species
AAUUAUCAAACCUUUCUUUAAAUUUAUUUUAAAGGUUGGCUUGGACUUGGAGGUUGCUGGCCGCGCCAUUUUGUAGUCAGUCAGCUCCUCUUGAAUGCAUUAGCUUGAGUCUUUAAUGAGUCGGCUUAUCGGUGUGAUAAACUUAUGCCGUUAGUCAACUUGUAAACAAAUUGAGCUUCUAAUCGUCUUUGGACAAACAUUAUAAUAUGAC